rnacentral:tRNA from 1 species
AGGCCUAGGAGAAACUCGAAUCCAAAUUUGCAAUUUGGC